CUAUAGACAGAUGUGUCCCCAGUGGUUUCAAAGUUUCCUCUUCCCUUCACCAGCCGGCCCCCUUCUCUGAUCGGCGGGGGUGGGAAGCGGGGGCUCGCAUCGCCAAGAGCUCUGGUCGUGGCCACGCUCCUUGGAAAUCCGCCACCGCAACUUUCCGCAGCCGUUGCGCGCCGGCGGCAGCCCCCUUUGUUUAAGUUCUCGGAUGCCAUCAUCUGGGAAACCUGCAGCCCAGGACCAGCGCGGUGCCCGCGCGUGCGAGACGGACCGCUCGCUGCCGCCGCUCCCUGGCUCCUCCACCCCCUCUCUCCCUCCUUCGCUCUCCCUCCCUUCCUCCCUCCUCCCUCCUCUGGGAUUCGUGCAAGUAGCGUGCGUGCCCUUGUGAGUUUGGAGGGUGCCGGUCAGCGGAGCCGUGCGAUGUAUUUGAAAAGCAAUCAGUCCGACCUUCCCCCAUAGAUUCAUCAAUCCACCUGGGUCAGUAACCUGAGACUGAAGAGUACAACAGUGAGCUC
rnacentral:lncRNA from 10 species